rnacentral:tRNA from 1 species
AGGGGUAUAGCUCAGUUGGUAGAGCAGUGGUCUCCAAAACCACGUGUCCUGAGUUCGAGUCUUAGUGCCCCUG